ACAACAUUAUGUUUGGUAAAGCUAGAGGAUGUAGAACACUGAAGAUAUAAAGUCAUGUAGGUUUCAACAUUAUGUUUGGUAAAGCUAGAGGAUGUAGAACACCGAAGAUAUAAAGUCAUGUAGGUUUCAACAUUAUGUUUGGUAAAGCUAGAGGAUGUAGAACACCGAAGAUAUAAAGUCAUGUAGGUUUCAACAUUAUGUUUGGUAAAGCUAGAGGAUGUAAAACACCGAAGAUAUAAAGUCAUAUAUAUUAA